ACAGCCAUGUCACAUUGUACCACCAGUUCCUCUAUGAUCACUGAAGUUAAGCAAUGUCAAGCCUGGUCAGUACCUAGAUGAGUGACUACUUGGGAAUACCAGGUGCUGUAAG